UGAGGAAUAUUGGUCAAUGGACGAGAGUCUGAACCAGCCAAGUAGCGUGAAGGAUGAAGGUCCUACGGAUUGUAAACUUCUUUUAUAAGGGAAUAAACCCUUCCACGUGUGGGAGCUUGUAUGUACCUUAUGAAUAAGCAUCGGCUAACUCCGUGCCAGCAGCCGCGGUAAUACGGAGGAUGCGAGCGUUAUCCGGAUUUAUUGGGUUUAAAGGGAGCGCAGACGGGUCGUUAAGUCAGCUGUGAAAGUUUGGGGCUCAACCUUAAAAUUGCAGUUGAUACUGGCGUCCUUGAGUGCGGUUGAGGUGUGCGGAAUUCGUGGUGUAGCGGUGAAAUGCUUAGAUAUCACGAAGAACUCCGAUUGCGAAGGCAGCACACUAAUCCGUAACUGACGUUCAUGCUCGAAAGUGUGGGUAUCAAACAGG
rnacentral:rRNA from 1 species